rnacentral:antisense_RNA from 1 species
GCUCCUCCAGCCCCAGUCGAACCCUCAGAUGUGACAGCCUUGGCUGCUGACAGUUUGCAAUCUCAUGAGAGACCCUGAGCCAGAACCACCCAGCUAAAUCAGUCCUGGACUCCUGAUCGACAGAAAUGGUACCAAAGAGAGGCGUUUUGGACAUUAAGACGCUUUGCUGCUUCUCACCUGAAACACGUAACAGGAACACCAACCUCUCCAGCCACGGGAAAUCUUCUUUGACACAAAACUCAAACCAAGUCAACCCAAAGUUCCAAGUUCUUUGCUUUCUUUUCUGUGUGUGUGUUGGUUUGUCCCAAAAGUCAGUUUGCAAGUUGAAACUUCAUGAAAUUACUCGUAGCAGAAAUAAAGUACAUUGUACAAAUCA